CAGCCGCCACGGUAAUACGCAGGGUGCAAGCGUUAAUCGGAAUUACUGGGCGUAAAGCGUGCGCAGGCGGUUUGUUAAGACAGAUGUGAAAUCCCCGGGCUCAACCUGGGAACUGCAUUUGUGACUGGCAAGCUAGAGUCUGGCAGAGGGGGGUGGAAUUCCGCGUGUAGCAGUGAAAUGCGUAGAUAUGCGGAGGAACACCGAUGGCGAAGGCAGCCCCCUGGGCCAACACUGACGCUCAUGCACGAAAGCGUGGGGAGCAAACAGGAUUAGAUACCCCUGUAGUCCCUGUCUCUUAUAC
rnacentral:rRNA from 1 species